rnacentral:RNase_P_RNA from 1 species
GCAGAAUUGAGGUCUGUCGCCUGACUCUAUUUUGAGUCAGGAGGAAAGUCCGGGCAACAUAGAGCGGCAUGUUUCCUAACGGGAAGCCGGCGGUGACGUCGGGGAUAAGUGACAGAAAACAACCGCCGAUCCGGCAUAGAUCGCUUCGGUAAGGGUGAAAAGGUGGGGUAAGAGCCCACCGGCUCCUAUGGCGACAUAGGAGGCCGCACAUCCCAUGUGUUGCAAGGCCAAAUAUACCGGCAGUUAAGGAUUGCUCGUCCAUUGCCGGGGGGUAGGCUGCUUAAGCACGCAGGCAACUGCGGAGCAUAGAUAAAUGACAGGCACCGUCUUGAAGUUUUUCAGACGGCACAUAACCCGGCUUAUAUCUUUUCUGCCUUU